rnacentral:rRNA from 1 species
UACGUAGGGGGCAAGCGUUGUCCGGAAUUAUUGGGCGUAAAGAGCGUGUAGGCGGUCCGGUAAGUCGGCUGUGAAAGUCCAGGGCUCAACCCUGGGAUGCCGGUCGAUACUGCCGGACUAGAGUUCGGAAGAGGCGAGUGGAAUUCCCGGUGUAGCGGUGAAAUGCGCAGAUAUCGGAAGGAACACCUAUGGCGAAGGCAGCUCGCUGGGCCUGACCUGACGCUGAGGAGCGAAAGCGUGGGGAGCGAACAGG